UCCUAAGGUAGCGAAAUUCCUUGUCGGGUAAGUUCCGACCUGCACGAAUGGCGUAACGAUGGCGGCGCUGUCUCCACCCGAGACUCAGUGAAAUUGAAAUCGCUGUGAAGAUGCAGUGUAUCCGCGGCUAGACGGAAAGACCCCGUGAACCUUUACUAUAGCUUUGCACUGGACUUUGAAUUUGCUUGUGUAGGAUAGGUGGGAGGCUUUGAAGUGGGGACGCCAGUUCUCAUGGAGCCAUCCUUGAAAUACCACCCUGGCAACUUUGAGGUUCUAACUCAGGUCCGUUAUCCGGAUCGAGGACAGUGUAUGGUGGGUAGUUUGACUGGGGCGGUCUCCUCCCAAAGAGUAACGGAGGAGUACGAAGGUGCGCUCAGACCGGUCGGAAAUCGGUCGUAGAGUAUAAAGGCAAAAGCGCGCUUGACUGCGAGACACACACGUCGAGCAGGUACGAAAGUAGGUCUUAGUGAUCCGGUGGUUCUGUAUGGAAGGGCCAUCGCUCAACGGAUAAAAGGUACUCCGGGGAUAACAGGCUGAUACCGCCCAAGAGUUCAUAUCGACGGCGGUGUUUGGCACCUCGAUGUCGGCUCAUCACAUCCUGGGGCUGAAGCCGGUCCCAAGGGUAUGGCUGUUCGCCAUUUAAAGUGGUACGCGAGCUGGGUUUAGAACGUCGUGAGACAGUUCGGUCCCUAUCUGCCGUGGACGUUUGAGAUUUGAGAGGGGCUGCUCCUAGUACGAGAGGACCGGAGUGGACGAACCUCUGGUGUUCCGGUUGUCACGCCAGUGGCAUUGCCGGG
rnacentral:rRNA from 1 species